AUGGACAGGAAGUCUUUAUGGCAUCAGAGAUGACAAAUGGGAUUGGGGAGGAAGAGAGGACGACAAUGGAGAUGCUGGCAAUUCUGUCACGUGACGGCUUUGAGAAACUGAUGAAGGAGAAUGAGCUUGAUGCGACUGUGACACUGGGUCCGGGCAUGGCCCCUGUGCUGACCAUUGGAGGUUACCCAGGAAUUACUGUUCGAGCUGGGUAUGAUGAGGAUGGAAUGCCCUUUGGCAUAUGUUUUGGAGGACUAAGGGGGAUGGAGCCGAAGCUUAUCGAAGUUGCUUACGGUUUCGAACAACCUACAAUGAUUCGGAGGCCUCCUGCUUAGCUCCAAAUGAUCAUUUAGCCAUAAAUUAGGUCUUUCUCAAGUAAUGUCUGGUGGCCUAAUGAAGGGUAUUUUGUUUCCGAUGAUAAUAAUAGAGGAAUGGUUCGUAUAUGUUGUUAAUUCUAGUGAUAAUUGAUGUUAACAUGCUCGUGAUUAUAAAAAGUGUUUCUAAUUAUUUUUUGAAAUUCUGAUCAAAUGGGUUUUGAUUGAACUUUUUAAUUAAUUAUGAGUAUUCUUUUUUACAAUUUAUUUCUUGAUUGAUCUCAGAAACACCAGGCCUGUGUGUCCAAAAAUGACGUUUGCAUUAGCACAAGUAGACGUGAGUCUGUGACCAGGCCUCUCUGUACAAAAAUAAGACUGCAAACACUUGAGCUCAGCACAAACAGCUGAUUAAGAAAGCAGACAAAGCAGAGAGAAGCAAUGGUGUCUUCAAAUUUUGCCAUGCUUUCAUUACUUCUCAUCAGCUUCAGAUCCUUUUGUUUUUAAAAACAAUAUAGAGGUUGUUCUCUGAAUCUUGUGUCUUUUUUUUUUUUCAAUCUUGUUUUAAAAAUUUAUAAUUUCAAAACAAUUGCCAAACAUGUAAAAAAAAAUAAAUUAAAAGUUGUUUUUUAUAUUUUUAAAACUGUUUUUAAAAAUUCCAACAAACAUGUUAUUAAUCUUACAUAAUUGUUUCAAUUUAAAAUUGUAUUUAUAUUGUUUAAUCUUUUUAAUUACUAUAUACUGUUUUGAAAAUCAUAUUGGAUUUUCUGGUUUGGUUCUCUCUAUUAAAUCAGAUAUUUGAACCAACCCCAAAGGCAUUGAACCGAUGGUUAGAAUGGUGAACUGUUGGACCGGGUGAUUCCAUAUGAAUUGAACAGUUCAACUCCUCUGCUCUUCCUUUCAUUAAAUGAGCCUAAUUUAAAACCCACCUCCUCUCAGACUUUUAAGAAAAAAACACCUAGCCGUCUUCCAUUUAAUGAUAUUCGAUAAAAACUCAACCCGAUUACCCCUUAAUGUGCCAUACCUUGAUUUAGACAUGACUUAUUGAGUUAGCAAUCCACGUCUCAUGUGGGAUUCAUGACUUGAAGUAUAAGAAAAAUGAAUGAAUUAAAACUCACCUAAAGGAUUUAAUAUUUAGUAAAAUCCCAACCCAAACACCUCUUAACGUGUCAUACCUUAAUUCACGUGUUGUAGACAUGACUUGUUGAGUUAGAAAUCCACAUCCCAUGUGACCUACAACCGAGCAAAACACCCGCUAAGGCUGCAUGCACUUUAUCACUUACAAUGCAAAUAAAAAAAUGUAUAUGUUUAUAAAAUAUUUAUAGUAUUAAAAAAAUAAUAUAAUAUUUUCUAAAAUUAGUUAAAAUUAAAUAAUUAAUUUUUUUUCAUUUUGAAUAUAUUGACAUUUAAAUAUUAUACAUAUUUCAUUUAAUAAAAUUCAAAAUAUUAAUACAUUUAUACUUAUUUUUUAUAAUAUCAAAGAUAAAAAAUUAAUAUAUUGAUUAUAUAUAUAUAUAUAUAUUUUAAUUUUUAAUUUUUUUUAUUUUAAAUAAUAUAAAUUAUAUUUUUAUGACGUCAUUAGUUCGACUACCGAUUCGAUUACUGAACCGUGAACAAUAACUUUUUCGGUUUAAUGACCAUUAUAUUAAAAAACAUUGGAUACACACUAUAUAUGAUAUAUUUUUUUCAUUAAUAUUUGAAUAUUUAAUGAUAACAAUUUGAAGGAUUUUUAUGCUUGAUGAAAAAAAAAAACACAUGUAAUAAUAAGAAUGAUAAUAAGUUGAGUCAAAUAAUAAUAAAUUUUAAAUAGCGGGAAGAUAAAAUAUAUGUGAAAAGAAUUUAUUUUAUAAAGAUAGUUCAAUAAUUUGACUAUAGGAGGAAACAUCGACAAAGAUUUCCCACCCCACUAUAAUGAAAAUAAGAGAAAUAAAAUAUGUGAAUGAUAAAGUCCAAAAAAAAAAAAAUUCAAUUUGAAUGUUAAUGUUACACAAAUAAUAGUAAAGAUUGUAUGGUUUUGUGGUAUUAAAUAAAUGGAUGUUACAUUUGAAUAAUAAAAAUAAUUAGGAAAGUUAUAAAAUCGAGGAAAGAUAAAAAUAAAUGAUAUAGUAGGGGUAUUUUGACAUUUUGUUCUUCAGGAAGCUACUAGAUUAGCUCCAAUGGGUGUGCACAGAGGCUAUGUUAAGCUUCUUCCAUAUGGUUUUGCCGGGAUAAUGGAAAAAUCAGGGGAGAAUAGUUGUGGGGAUUUGAGUUUUAUCAAGAAUAUUGGUGGGUUUGAUUUUGGGGAAGGUAUUAGAUUUGAGCCAUCAAAGCUUAUUCCGAAGUUUCAGAGACAGGCUGAUGAGAUGAAUCUCUUCUGCUUCAAGGCUACAACACCGUUUUGGAUGCAGAAAGCCCCGGCUUGCUUCGGUCAGUAUUUUUACUUUUCUUUUUCUGGGUUUUUUUUUUUUUUUUCUCUUUCCCUAAUUCGCUUAUUGCCUGUUGCAUGCAUCUUACAAUCCUUAAUACUGUGAAUUGAAAAAGUCUUCGCUCUUCUUCGAUCAAUUAAAAUCUCCCAUUUAUUAAACGUGGACUUGAUAAAUCCAAUAUUGUUUCUCCUAUAGGUUGAUACUUUCUAGUCUGAAAAAUUUGCACUUCUCAUGGACACAAUGGCAAUGGCAAUGGCGUUUAAGAUGCUUUCUCUUUUGCUCCUCUGCGGAUGCUUCUUUUCCAACUCCUUUGUCAUCGAAGAAGCCAACAUCAAGGACAUCCAAUGGACAUUCUCUCAAAACAAGCUCGUGUCCAGACAGCUCGUUGACUUCUACUUGCACCAGAUCGAGGCCCUGAAUCCAGAGCUUUGCAACGUCAUAGAGGUGAACCCAGAUGCACGAGAGCAAACGGACAAGGCCAAUGCAGAGAUUAAAAGCAAUAAGGAGUUGGGGGAGCUGCAUGGGGUACUUGUGUGUUGAGAUAUUAGGAAUGCUUUCCUUAUAUCAUUCUUUCCUUAUAUCAUUUAGUGUUGAGAUAUUAGGAAUGUUUAGAUAUUAGGAAAGUUGAGAUAUUAUGAAUAUUGAGAUAUUAGGAAUAUUGAGAUACUAGGAAUAUUGAGAUAUUAGGAAAGUUGAGAUAUUAGGAUAUUAGUUGUUAUUUCCUUAUAUCAUUCUUUCCUUGUAUCAUUCUUUCUCAUUCUUAGAAUGGUGAUUACCCUCUAUAUAUACUCUGUACAUGAACGAAUGAAAGUAUGAAUGAAAAAAACUACCAUUUAUCAAUUUGAAGAUGGUAUCAGAGCCAUGGAAUUGAAAUCCUGGAUAUUUUGUCACUAUGGUAGUCCGACAGCGAUCAACCAUCCUAAGACAAGCCCUAAUAUUGAUAAGUCAACCUUCAAAUGCACUCACUUCAAUAAGACUGGUCCCACCAGUCUGGAUAUCCCACAAUUUUAAAGCAACGACUCUUGGUAUGACCAGGAAAACAAUAAGGAACCGAGGGUUUGAACCAUGGACCUUUAGAUCAUGUUUAGGCUAUCAACACUUUGUUAUUAAUUAUAAUAAUCGUGAUCAACAGAAGAAGGAUCCCAAGAAAACCUUGACUGCAACUAUUGCCGAAAUAAAAACAGAGGCUAAUGUUGCUGAGAAAGCCUCUGCAUUGGUAGCCGCUACUGAUCAUGGUGGUAAGUUUUUAAAUACUUUUACACCUGUUAUUAAUAGUGCAUGGAUAAUUGAUUCUGGUGCUACAGAUCAUAUGACUUUUGAUUCUAGACAGGUUUCACCCCUUAGACCUUCCUCACAAAAAAUUAUUUCCACAGCCAAUGGUAACACAACCCCAGUCAUUGGGGAAGGAUCCUUAACUCUUACUGAUACUUUGAAUUUGGAUUCUGUUUUAGUUGUUCCAUCUUUAGAUUACAAUCUUUUGUCAGUUUCUCAAAUCACUACAACCUUAUCUUGUAUUGUCAUUUUUUGGCCUGAAUUUGUGUGAUUAAGGACAUCCAAACAAGACAGACGAUUGAUUGUGGUAUUAAACGGGGAAAACUCUAUUACUUGGACUUGCAAUCAAAGGAUUCAAAUAAGUUGCAACAAGCCUUGAUGGCAGAUGGAUCUGAGGGGGAGAAGAAAAAGUUUGAAAUUUGGUUGUGGCAUCGACGUCUGGGACAUGCUUCCUUUGGUUAUUUAAAAAAAUUGUUUCCUAGUUUGUUUGCAAAGAGUGAUAUUUCUGGUUUCCGUUAUGAUAUUUGUGAAUUGGCUAAAAGCCAUCGUGCUUCGUUUUCGUUAAUUUUGAAUAAAAGUCCGUUUCCUUUUAUGGUUAUACAUUCUAAUGUUUGGGACCCAUCCAAAGUCCCAACUUUGAGUGGCUCACGUUGGUUUGUUACUUUUAUUGAUGAUUGUACCAGAAUGAGAUGGUUAUGCUUGAUGAAGACCAAAGAUGAAGUGAACUUGUUGUUUAAAAAUUUUCAUAAAAUGAUUGAAACUCAGUACAAUGCAAAGGUUCGGGUUCUGCGUAGUGAUAAUGGUGGAGAAUAUCAAAGUUCUGAUCUUCAAAAGUAUUUGGAAGGACAUGACAUCAUUCAUCAGACUACUUGUUCCAAUACACCCCAGAAAAAUGGAGUCGCUGAACGAAAAAAUCGACACUUGUUAGAGGUUGUUCGUGUUUCCUUGAUAGCAGCAAAAACACCGAUAUCUUAUUGGGAAGAAGCAAUCACAUCUACCGCAUACUUGAUCAAUCGGGUACCUUCUAACUCAAUUAACUUUCAAACACCUCUCCAAGCUCUUACUAAUGUCGUAGUUGCCCCAACCGUCCCAAAUCUACCUCCUCGUGUUUUUGGUUGCGUGGCAUUUGUGCAUCUACACAAGCACCAACGCACCAAGUUAACUUCCCAUGCAUUGCAAUGUGUGUUUGUUGGAUAUGCAUUGCACAAAAAGGGAUAUCGAUGUUACCAUCCUCCAACUCGACAAAUGUAUAUUACAAUGGAUGUGGUGUUUCAUGAAGAUUCAAUGUAUUUUUCAUCUGAGUCUGAACUUCAGGGGGAGUACCAUAAGGAAAUUUAGAUUCUCGAUUAUGAUUAUCAUAUCUCUGAGGAAGAUGAAUCUGGACAACCUGGACAAUCUGAACUAGUGAACCAGGAAGUGGGUGAGUUGGAUAUGGGUGGUCAACAAUUUGGGUCUGAAGAUGUCUUCACUAAAAUACCAAACCAAUCGUCAUCUGUUGAGGGUGUUCUUAAUUUGGAACCUGAUCCUUUCAUGAAACAGUUACCACAUCGUCAUAAUAGAGGUAUUCCUAAACCCACAUAUGAACCUGAAUUGUCUACUAUAGUCGAAUAUCCCAUGAGCAACUAUGUGUCUACCCAUCGUUUGUCUGAAUCAAAUAAGCCAUUUGUAAAUCAAUUAUCUACUGUAUCUAUUCCUAACAGUGUGCAGGAAGCCUUAGCUGAUCCAAGGUGGAAAGCAGCCAUGAAUGAAGAGAUGAAAUCAUUGCAGAAGAAUGAAACAUGGGAACUCGUAGAAUGUCUACCAGGAAAGAAGCCAGUUGGGUGUCGUUGGAUCUAUACUGUGAAGUACAAGGUAGAUGGUAGUAUUGAACGAUUUAAAGCAAGACUGGUAGCAAAAGGGUACAUUUAAACUUAUGGAAUUGACUAUACAGAGACAUUUGCACCUGUAGCUAAGAUCAACACAAUUCGAGUAUUAUUGUCUUUAGCUGCAAACCUAGAUUGGCCAUUACAACAAUUCGAUGUGAAAAAUGCCUUUCUGCAUGGCGAGUUAUCUGAAGAAGUAUAUAUGGAUCUUCCACCAGGAUGCAUGGUGUCAGAAAAGCAAUGUCAGAAGGUGUGCAAAUUGAAGAAGUCAUUAUAUGGGUUGAAGCAAUCCCCGAGAGCAUGGUUUGGAAGGUUCACNNNNNNNNNNNNNNNNNNNNNNNNNNNNNNNNNNNNNNNNNNNNNNNNNNNNNNNNNNNNNNNNNNNNNNNNNNNNNNNNNNNNNNNNNNNNNNNNNNNNGUCAGAGUAUAAAAGUAUAUACUGAUGCUGAUUGGGCUGGUGUAGUGGAUGAUAGGCGAUCUACAUCUGGUUACUUUACCUUUGUAGGUGGUAAUCUUGUGACAUGAAAAAGUAAGAAGCAGAAUGUUGUCGCUCGUUCAAGUGCAGAAGCGGAAUUUAGAGGUAUGACUCUAGGACUUUGUGAGGCAUUAUGGCUAAGACUCCUCUUACAGGAUUUAGGUUACCUAUCUAAGCAACCAAUCCGAUUUUUUUGUGACAAUAAAGCCGCAUGUGACAUUGCUCAUAAUCCAGUACAACAUGAUCGUACAAAGCAUGUCGAGGUGGAUAGAUUCUUCAUUAAGGAAAAAUUGGAUGAUAAGAUUGUGAAAUUGCCUAAGAUUCGAUCAGAAGAUCAAUUGGCCGAUAACCUUACCAAAGUUGUCUCAAGUCAAGUGUUCUCAAAAUUUUUAGACAAGUUGGGUAUGUGUGACAUCUAUGCACCAACUUGAGGGGGAGUGUUGAGAUAUUAGAAAUGUUUAGAUAUUAGGAAAGUUGAGAUAUUAUGAAUAUUGAGAUAUUAGGAAUAUUGAGAUACUAGGAAUAUUGAGAUAUUAGGAAAAUUGAGAUAUUAGGAAAGUUGAGAUAUUAGGAUAUUAGUUGUUAUUUCCUUAUAUCAUUCUUUCCUUGUAUCAUUCUUUCUCAUUCUUAGAAUGGUGAUUACCCUCUAUAUAUACUCUGUACAUGAACGAAUGAAAGUAUGAAUGAAAAAAACUACCAUUUAUCAAUCUGAAGACUGUGUUGUUGAAGGACAGUAUAAAUACUAAAGAUAAGUUGAAUACAACUGUAGGGUCAUAUGCGUUGUUGGGGGCGAAGGUGGGUGGAGACGCGGCGGUGGUGGAGAGAUUGAGGAAGGCAGGGGCGGUGAUACUGGGAAAGGCUAGUAUGAGUGAAUGGUAUCAGUUUCGUUCUUUGAAAACUCGAAACGGCUGGUGUCCAAGGAGUGGACAGGGUGUGGUGAGCUUAAUUGCUUUCCUUCUUCCUAUACUUGGUUUCGUUAUUUUGAAGAUUAGGUCUAAAUUUUGUGACUUGUGAGACAUGCAGAAUCCAUAUGUACCAUCGGGAGAUCCAUGCGAGUCAAACAGCGGAUCUGCAAUAUCUGUAGCGGCCAACAUGGUGGCUGUCUCGCUUGGGACUGAGACUGAUGGUUCCAUCAUCUGCCCAGCCGAUGUGAACUCCGUUGUUGGGUUUAAACCCACUAUUGGACUCACCAGUCGGGUAGGUUGUGGACCCUCACCCGAUCCACCGGACCGACGUGACUCGCUUUUAAAAGAAAAGAAAGAAAUGAAAAAGUUGGUGUUUUCCAGUUUUGAAAAACCCGCCCCCGAUGAGGAACGGUGUUGUUUGGAGUCGCCACUUACUUUUUAUUUUUGUUUUUAAAAUGGGGAAAAUUAAGUAAGAACAAAAACCCCUAAUGACCCCAAUAUGGAAAAAGCGGUCUACGAAACUAGAUUCUGGGUCCGGGGAUCAGGUUACCCGUUGGGAAGGUACCUCAUGCGAGGUAGCACCCCUCUAGGCCCGAAACUCGGUCUCUACUAAUGAAUUGGGUAUGUGGGAGCAUAUGGGUCAAAGGUCAAAUGAAACUCUAGGCUAAAUAGAUGUCAUGAAUCACACAAUCCUAAUUGGUAUUUGGCAUGCAUAUGAAUUCAACCAAACAAAACAAUGGAUGCGUACCUGUGGUCCCUAGCCAAGCGUUGGAUAAAAGGUCAGCCAAACACAGAUAAACACAUAACAAACAUUCAAGAUUAAGCACCAUGCAUGCAUAUGAAUUCAACAACCAAAGCCAACGAUGUGUACCUGUGGUCCCUAGCCAAGCGCUGCAGCAGAGGGUGAGUCAGUCACGUAACAUGUAUUCAAAAUCAAGCAUCAAAACUUGUGCCAAAAAGGAAGAUAGCUGGUUGAAAUGAGGUAAGGGACUCCCCAAAUGUCAUACAAAUCGAACUAGACUCAUCUAGACCACACCACCCAUAACUUCAAAAUUGCCCAUACUAACUGAAAUCAAACACUGACUUAAACCUUCAAGAUGGCUCACAAGUGCCCUAUAGCAAAUGGGUUUGAGCCCCCAUGGAUAAGGGCUCGAAAAAUGCCAAAAUCGAGGGCUACCUAAAGUCCUCCAGCAGAACAGGUUGAACUGGUACAACUAUUGAGAAGAAUUCCCAAAUUUUUCUAGAAAACUCCUAAAUGAGUGAGGAUUCAAACAAAAGAAACAACACUCAAUCCCGAGCCCGGACGAGUGAGAACCAGAUAAAGAAAGACAGGUGUUCCUCAUGGCUGACAGAGGCAGCCAGCUAUGGUGCUGAACCGGUUGAACCGGUUCCCAACUAGUUCAGCCGGUUGAUAAAAAAUCCCAAAUUCGGUCAGAAAGUUCCUAAGUGAUUAAGGAAGCGAACAAAAGAAACGGUUCUCAAUUCCGAGCCCGGAUGAGUGAGAACCAGACAAAGAAAGACAAGUGUUCCUUAUGGCUGAUAGAGGCUGCCAGCUAUGGUGCUGAACCGGUUGAACCGGUUGGUAAAAAAUCCCAAAUUUGGUCAGAAAGUUCCUAAGUGAUUAAGGAAGCAAACAAAAGAAACGGUUCUCAAUUCCGAGCCCGGAUGAGUGAGAACCAGACAAAGAAAGGCAAGUGUUCCUCAUGGCUGAUAGAGGCUGCCAGCUAUGGUGCUGAAUCGGUUGAAUUGGUUCCAAACUGGUUUAGCCUGUUGGUAAAAAAUCCCAAAUUCGGUCAGAAAGUUCCUAAGUGAUUAAGGAGGCAAAAAAGACGGUUCUCAAUUCCGAGCCCGGAUGAGUGAGAACCGGACAAAGAAAGGCAGGUGUUCUUCAUGGCUGACAGAGGCAGCCAGCUAUGGUGCUGAACCGGUUCCCAACCGGUUCAGCCGGUUGGUAAAAAAAAUCCCAAAUUCGGUCAUAAAGUUCCUAAGUGAUUUAGAAAGCAAACAAAAGAAAUGGUUCUCAAUUUCGAGCCCGGAUGAGUGAGAACCAAACAUAGCAAGGUCAGAUGUUCCUCGUGACUGACAGAGUCAACCAACCAUGGUGCGAAAUUGAAAAUGAUGAAUGAAUUAAACUUGAGCCUAAACGUGAUUCUAACACAUCAAGAAAACAAUCAUCCUCAACAGUAAUCCUCAACCAUUCAUAACCAAUCAACAACAAACAUGUGUGACCUUUAUUAUCCACACCCAAGCAAUAUAAUCUUCACAUCAAAGGAAAUAAAAGAGGAUGAGAAAGAAGAAAAAGCAUACGAAGACGAUGAAGAUGACCUGUAGGUAAAAAAAAUUCAGCAUACUUACCUCAGAAUCUCCGCCAAAUAUGAUCCAUGUACGCUGAUGAUGACUUCCAGAAACCGAGACGUUGUAGCUUUCCUCCACGCUCUCAACUCAGAAGAUGCUCCCCACCCUCUGUUCUUCUCACCAACAAAAUAUCCUCUCUCUCAAAAAUGCCAAAAGGUAUUUUGCUCUCCUAUCCUCUCACCUUUUAUACUCAUACCCCUCUCAGCAUUUGAGCCUCCUGGGUUCCUUUCCCUUCAGCACCGAAAUCCCUUUCAUCAGCAUGGGAACCACACCCCUCAUUACUCCUCUUAAACUUACAAGACCAGCUCACUCCUUCAGUUUUCAGCUUACUUCACCACCAAGAAUCCAUAUGGAUUCGUGGUGGGCUGCAAGGAACCCAAACCAAGGCCUAAAAUGGACCCAAAACAUUUCCCAAAACCGAUCUGAAGCUUACGGGCCUGAGCCAUGUAGGAUUUGGGCCUCAAAAUUACUAGAAUUAGUGUUUUACCUCAGUUUACUCAAUGAACCGGCCGAACCGGAUGCCAACUGGUCGAACCGAUGGAAAAAAAUUCUGAAAAUUUGACAGAAUGUUCCUAGUAGAGUAAGGAAUUCAUUAAAAAAAAACGGUGCGUGAUUCCAAGUUCGGAAGAGGGAGAUAUGAUAAAAACAAUUACCAAAAAUCAGUGUUCUACACCGGCUGACUCGAUGAACCGGCUGAACCGGCUGCCAACCAGACGACCGGUUGCAAAAAAUUUUGAAAAUUUUACAGAAUGUUUUUGGAAGAAUAGGGAAUCCAUAAAAAGAAACGGUUCUUGAUUCCGAGUUUGGAUGAGGGAGAUACGAUCAAAACAAGCCCGAGUGCUCCGAACCUCAACAUGCCCCUAUAAACCCCAACUAAGCUAAAACAUCGGGAUGACCCCACUUCCUUCCUAUAGCGUGAUGUGAACGACUAGGAAAAUGGCCAUGGUGACCCUCCAAAAUGAACCACAUAUACACCACAAUGGACCACAAACAAACCCACACGAGGCUCGGACACCGACUAAGCCCAAAAGGGGCCCUAGUGGUGCCAUAUGCGAACGAUGGGUGGAUGUGACACCCGAAGGAUAAAUGCCAGUGUCGAGGGACAAAAUUGAGGGUCUACACAGGUGUCAUCCCAAUUUCACCCCGACAAGACAGUGUCGGGUACUAUAAGUUACAUAGCUUUGAAAUUGAUUAUUGAAUCUCUAACACAAACAUUAUGCUAUUAGGAAACUCUAUGUUUAUACAGGCCUAUAAAUUAUGAAAGUAGAGCUUGUUCUAUAUAUAGCGUUGAUCAGAUGUUUCUCUACCACAGACCUAUAUGCUGGAGUGUGCUGGACGCAGUUUAUGUGCUUGAUGCUAUAGUGGGUUUUGAUCCUAGAGACGGUGAGGCAACAAAAGAAGCAUCCAAGUUCAUACCUGUUGGUGGCUACAAACAAUUUCUCAACAAAGAUGGGAUUGCAGGAAAGAGAUUGGGUGUUGUGAGGAAUCCAUUUUCUGGAUUUUACAACCGAUCCACAGCUAUUUCAGCCUUUGAAGCUCAUCUCACCGUAUUAAGGUAGAAGAUAUAUAUGCUUUGUUAUAUAUAUAAACAUAGUCUAAACUCAUGUAAUAAACAUACCAUUGAUUUAGUGUCCUGUCAUGUGAAUUUCUUUGAGGAAUGCUGCAGGCAAAGAGGUGCAAUUUUAGUGGACAAUUUGGAAAUAGAAAAUGUUGAUAUCAUAUUGAACCCCUAUGAAAGUGGUGAAUCAACGGCCUUGUUGGCUGAGUUCAAGCUCAACAUAAAUGAAUACCUGAAAGAGCUCACCCAUUCUCCAGUGAGGUCCCUAGCAGGCAUAAUUGCCUUCAACUUGAACAACUCCGAUCUGGUAAAUACUCCCCAGAGUGGGGAAUGAGUUAUGAGAACUCAGGCAUUUGCUAAUUGGUUUUGUAGAUAUAUGAAUUAAGCCUUGUGCCAUUGCAGGAAAAGACUGAUGAAUAUGGCCAGGAAGUCUUUAUCGCAGCAGAGAUGACAAAUGGGAUUGGGAAGCAAGAGAGGAUGGCAAUGGAAAUGAUGGCAAAUCUGUCUCAGGAUGGGUUUGAGAAACUGAUGAUGGAGAAUAAGCUUGAUGCAACGGUGGCACUGGGUUCAGGCAUGGCCACUGUACUGGCCAUUGGAGGUUACCCCGGAGUUAGUGUUCCAGCUGGGUAUGAUGGAGAUGGAAUGCCCUUUGGCAUAUGUUUUGGAGGACUGAAGGGGAUGGAGCCAAAGCUUAUUGAAGUUGCUUACGGAUUUGAACAAGCCACAAAGAUUCGGAGACCUCCUACUUCCCCUAAUAACUUAUUGUGUCCUAAUGAGCCAUUGUAAGAGUUGGAUUUUGUUUUCCGCAAUAACAGUGGUUAUAUAUGUAUAAAUAAAUAAUUAAAAUUUUUGAAUAACUAUUUUUUAUCAUAACUAACAAAUAGUUAUGUUUCUAAAUUUGUUUAUUAACUUUUCAAGCAAUUCUCUUAGUUUUUCUAAGUUAUCCAAAGGUCAUCCGAAAAAUUUUAGUGAGGGUCUAUAAGUUCAUCUAUCUUUAAUAAGUCUAUAUCCUUGGACUCUUUAGUGGUAGUCACUUUUGCUCUAGAUCACUCAUGGUAGAGACCUUAAAUUUUUCUCAUCACUUUAGAGUUAGGGAUGAGUUUACCAAGAUUAAAGGUAGGAUUCAUAAAAUCCAUCAAUUUUGUAUGGAACUCUCUAAAACUCUUAUGAUCCUCCAUCCUAAUAGUCUCAAACAUAAAGCUUAACAUUUGAAGUUUGGAUACUUUAACGACAUUGGCUCUUUCAUGAGUCACUUGGAAGAUAUCCCAAACCUCCUUAGCCUACAUGUAACAAUACCAAAAAAUUCAUAUGUGCUAAUAACAUUAAAAAUGGAAUAUAUGGCUCUAACAUUAUUUUCACUAGUUUCAUUUUCACCUAUAUCUCGUUCCAAUUUAGGUUUGACAAUAUUUGUUAGUCUACCUUCUCUAUCAAAUACCUUAGGUGGAGACCAACCAAAUUCAAUAGCAUUCCAAACUUUUUGUUUGCAUUUUGAGAAAAAAUAUUGCAUGUGUACUUUCCAAUGAGAAUAAUUUCACUGGUUAAGAAUUGUGAUCUCCUAAUGAAAGCUCCUUCUUAAUAAGAUUUCAUGAUUAAGAUUCAAGAAUUGAAAAAUGAUUUUUAUAGUAAAAAUCCGUCCAUAUACCAAUUGAGGAUGAAUUGAAUGCAAUUCACAUGCAAAUGAAUUAACAUUCCCCAACCUAAAUUCGUAAGAAUAAUUAGCUCCUCAACACAUUUCUAAUUACUACUUAAUAUCAUAAUCAAAUUAAAUAAAAAAUUAUUUAAUAUUUUCAAAAAUCAAACUCAUUUAAACUCAUUUUUCACCUAUCCAACAUAUGCUCAAGUAUGAAAUUGAGAUCAAUAAACAAGAGAGAAGAAUAAGAGAGUGACGAUAACACCAAAUUUUAAUGUGAAAAAUCUCCUAAGAAAUAAAAAGUUAUGGGUCUACCAAUGAUCAUAAGUUUACACUAUGAAAAAUAACAAACUGAGCACAAUGCUUUACCUAACUCAAGUUUAUAUAUCAUUCUCGAACUACUUGAUCAGUAGCUUCCAACUUCAACUUCACACCUUCUUUUGGAACACAUUUACAAUCUAGACCAAACUUAAUCUACAUAAGAAGAAAAUGAGUUUUCAUUCAAACCUAAAUCAACAAGAACACGAUAGAUACAUGAAAUAAAUGAAUAAGCCCGUUUUUAAGAAAAUCCAAUUGAAAAACAAUAUGAAAAUCAAGAUAAAAGAAAAUUUUCUCAAGAAAACAAACACUUCCAAUUUGGAAUAAGAAAGAGAGCUCAAAUGGAGUGAAAAACGGUUGUUUUUUUUUUUCCUAAACUAGAAACAUUUGAGUUAAAUAUGAAGAGGAAACCUUGAUCGAAUGACUAAAAAAAGAUCCAACAAAAGAUAGACUAAUCUUUCUUAAAUAUUGAUCAAUCCUGGAAUAGGGUACAAAAACACUUAAUAAAAAAAUUGUUGGCUCAACUUCCUUAACCCUUUUAAAAAUCAAUAGUUCAAAAAAAAAAAAAAACAGAAAAGCAAUUGAUUCACAUUCAUCUACACUAUCAGUUAGAUACUUUGGUCUCUAAGUAUUUUUAGCAUCUUGAUCUUUACCAGGUAGACCGAUGAUUUUUCACCGUUUUCACCUAUUUUUCAUUUGAUUAAUAAUUAGUGGCCUAUAUCGUUUCACGAUGAAAUUUCAUCGAAAUUUCGUGAUAUUUUUUGAUAUUUCAAACCAUGCCCUUAUCUAAUACAUUUAUUUAUUUAUUCCAAUUUUAAAUUUUAAAUUUUUAAAAUUGUCGGUUGAUAAAUUUGUUAAAAUUCCAUCCAAAUCGUUGACAAUCUACGAACACAGCAUCCAAGUCACAGCUCCGUGCAUUCACGUGUUCUUCAUUUCUCUCUAGCUGUUCUUUUGCGCUAUUCACAAGCAUCUAGAUUUUUUUUUUUUUUUUUUUUUGCGUUGACUUCUAAUCUGGGUUCCAGUUGUGGUGGAGUGUGGGACUGGAAAAAGGGUAUUUUGAGUUUUGGAGAAGUCUCCUGUUGUUGAUCUUGAUUCGUUUGUUGGUGUUUUUUUUUUUUUUGCCUGAAGCUUUUCUGUGUUUUACUUUAAUGGUCUGUAAAUGGGUUCUCUGGAAAGCGGGGUUCCGGUGAAGAGAGACCCUCUUCUUCGCUCUUGAUCGAACUAAGGCUAGCUUUUUCAGAGACCCAUUUUGAGAUUUUCAAGGUUUCUGUUCUUCAGGAAGCUGCUAGAUUUACUCCAAUGGGUGUGCACAGUGGCGAUGUUCUGCUUCUUUGUGGUUCUAGUCCAUGUGGUUUUGCCGGGUUUGAUAAUGGAAAAAUCAGGGAUUCAUUGAAAAAUAUGGAGAAUAGUUAUGGGGAUUUGAGUAGUAUCAAAAAAUUGGUGGGUUUGAUUUUGGGGAAGGUAUUAGAUUUGAGCCGUCAAAGCUUCUUUAGAAGUUUCAGAAAGAGGCUAAUGAGAUGAAUCUCUCUUCCGCUUCAAGGUUUGCUCUGGUCAGUAUUUUUACAUUUCUUUUGCUGGUUUUUUUUUCUUUCUAAUUCGCUGAUUGCAUGUUGUUUGCAUCUUACAAUCCUUGAAUAAUCUGAAUUGAAAAAGUCUUCACGCUUCUUCAAUCAAUUAAAAUCUCCCAUUUAUUGAACGCGACUUGAUAAAUCAAAUAUUGUUUCUCCUAUAGGUUGAUUCUUUCUAGUCUGAAAAAUUUUCACUUCUCAUGGACACAAUGGUAAUGGCAAUGGCGUUUAAGAUGCUUUCUCUUUUGCUCCUCUGCGGAUUCUUCUUUUCCAACUCCUUUGUCAUCGAAGAAGCCAACAUCCAGGACAUCCAAUGGGCAUUCUCUCAAAACAAGCUCACCUCCAGACAGCUCGUUGACUUCUACCUGCACCAGAUCGAGGCCCUGAAUCCGGAGCUUCGCAGCGUGAUAGAGGUGAACCCAGAUGCACGAGAGCAAGCGGACAAGGCCGAUGCAGAAAUUAAAAGCAAGAAGGAGUUGGGGGAGUUGCAUGGCAUACCAGUGUUGCUGAAGGACAGUAUAAAUACUAAAGAUAAAUUGAAUACAACUGCUGGGUCAUAUGCAUUGUUGGGGGCGGAGGUGAGUGGAGAUGCGGCGGUGGUGGAGAGGCUGAGGAAGGCGGGGGCGGUGAUACUGGGAAAGGCUAGUAUGAGUGAGUGGUAUCAGUUUCGUUCUUUGAAAACUCGAAACGGCUGGUGUCCAAGGAGUGGACAGGGUGUGGUGAGCUUAAUUGCUUUCCUUCUUCCUAUAUUUGGUUUCGUAAUUUUGAAGAUUAAGUCUAAAUUUUGUGACUUGUGAGACAUGCAGAAUCCAUAUGUAGCAUCGGGAGAGCCAUGCGGGUCAAGCAGCGGAUCUGCAGUAUCUGUAGCGGCCAACAUGGUGGCUGUCUCGCUUGGGACGGAGACUGAUGGUUCCAUCAUCUGCCCAGCUGAUGUGAACUCCGUUGUUGGGUUUAAACCCACUGUUGGACUCACCAGUCGGACAGGUGUCAUCCCAAUUUCACCCCGACAAGACAGUGUCGGGUACUAUAAGUUACAUAGCUUUGAAAUUGAUUAUUGAAUCUCUAACAUAAGCAUUAUGCUAUUAGUAAACUCCAUGUUUAUACAGGCGUAUAAAUUAUGAAAGUAGAGCUUGUUCUAUAUAUAUCAUUGAUCAGAGGUUUCUCUACCACAGACCUAUAUGCAGGAGUGUGUUGGACGCAGUUUAUGUGCUUGAUGCUAUAGUGGGUUUUGAUCCUAGAGACGGUGAGGCAACAAAAGAAGCAUCCAAGUUCAUACCUGUUGGUGGCUACAAACAAUUUCUCAACAAAGAUGGGAUUGCAGGAAAGAGAUUGGGUGUUGUGAGGAAUCCAUUUUCUGGAUUUUACAACCGAUCCACAGCUAUUUCAGCCUUUGAGGCUCAUCUCACCGUAUUAAGGUAGAAGAUAUAUAUGCUUUGUUAUAUAUAUAAACAUAGUCUAAACUCAUGUAAUAAACAUACCAUUGAUUUAGUGUCCUGUCAUGUGAAUUUCUUUGAGGAAUGCUGCAGGCAAAGAGGUGCAAUUUUAGUGGACAAUUUGGAAAUAGAAAAUGUUGAUAUCAUAUUGAACCCCUAUGAAAGUGGUGAAUCAACGGCCUUGUUGGCUGAGUUCAAGCUCAACAUAAAUGAAUACCUGAAAGAGCUCACCCAUUCUCCAGUGAGGUCCCUAGCAGGCAUAAUUGCCUUCAACUUGAACAACUCUGAUCUGGUAAAUACAUCCCCAAGUGGGGAAUGAGUUAUGAGAACUUAGGUAUUUGCUAAUUGGUUAUGUAUAUAUAUGAACUACGCCUUGUGCCAUUGCAGGAAAAGACUGAUGAAAAUGGCCAGGAAGUCUUUAUCGCAGCAGAGAUGACAAAUGGGAUUGGGAAGCAAGAGAGGAUGGCAAUGGAGAUGAUGGCAAAUCUGUCUCGUGAUGGGUUUGAGAAGCUGAUGAUGGAGAAUGAGCUCGAUGCAACGGUGACACUGGGUUCAGGCAUGGCCACUGUACUGGCCAUUGGAGGUUACCCCGGAGUUAGUGUUCCAGCUGGGUAUGAUGGAGAUGGAAUGCCCUUUGGCAUAUGUUUUGGAGGACUGAAGGGGAUGGAGCCAAAGCUUAUUGAAGUUGCUUACGGAUUUGAACAAGCCACAAAGAUUCGGAGACCUCCCGCUUCCCCUAAGAACUUAUUGUGUCCUUAUGAGCCAUUGUAAGAGUUGGAAUUUGUUUUCUGCAAUAACAGUGUUUAAAUACGUAUAAAUAAAUAAUUAAAAAUUUUUGAAUAAUUAUUUUAUAUCAUAACUAAGAAAUAGUUACGACUAAAUUUGUUUAAUACCUUUUAAAGUAAUUCCCUUAGUUUUCCUAAGUGAUGCAAAUGUCAUUUCAAAAAUUUGGAGAGGGUUUACAAGUUCAUUUAUCUUCAAUAAAUUCACAUCUUUGGACACUUCAAUGAUGGUUACUUUUGCUCUAUUCGGAGAGACCUUAAAAUUUUUCUUAAUAUUUUAGGAUUAGGGAUGAGUUCAUCAAUAUUAAAGCUAGAAUUCACAAUAUCCAUCAAUUUUGUAUGAAACUCUUCAAAAUUCUCGUUAUCAACUAUCCUAAUAAUCUCAAACCUAAAGACUAUCAUUUGAAAUUUGGACACUUUAAUGACAUUGGUUCCUUCAUGAGUCAAUUGAAAAAUAUUUUAAGUCUCCUUAGCCAAAGUACGAGUAGCAAUCUUACAAAAUUCAUUCGUGCUAAUUGCAUUAAAAAUGGAAUACAUGGUUUUAACAUUAUUCUCAUUAGUUUCAUUUUCACCUCUAUCCUAUUCUAAUUUAGGUUUGAUAACAUUUGUUAGUCUACUUUCUCUAUCCAAUCCCUUAGAUGAAGACCAACCAAAUUCAACAACAUUUCAAACUUUUCAUUUGCAUUUUAAGAAAAAUACUGCAUUCUUACUUUCCAAUGAGAAUAAUUUUCACUAAUUAAGAAUGGUGGUCUCUCAAUAAUCAACACUCCUUAACCUAAAUUCAUAAGAACAAUUAAUUUCUCAACACAUUUCUUCAAUAUUUUCAAAGGAUAAUUAGGCCCAUUUCAACUCAUUUUUCACUCAUCCAAUAUAUAUGCCCAAGUAUGAAAUUAAGAUCAAUAAAUAUAAAUGAACAAAAGAGAAGAAUGAGAGAAAGACAAUAACACAUUUAAUGUGGAAAAUUUUCUAAGAGAUAAAAAAAGUCAAAGGUCCACCAAUGAUCAAAGCUUCCACUACGAAAAAUAACAAACUGAAUACAAACUUUUACCUAACUCAAGUCUAUCUAUUUAUUAGAGUUUGAUGACUCGAAUUCUAUUUGGUCUUAUUUGAAAAGCUCGCAGUGUGAUAUAUGUGGUAAAAAAAAAAAAAGAGAUUUUUUUGGGGAUCUUACUCGAUUUUAGAUUUAUGAGAUUUUACUUAAAUUUGAAUCAAUUCUGGAACAGGGUACAAAAACAAUUAAUAAAAAAAAAUCAUUGUUUUGACUUCCUCAAUUCUUCUUUUUUUUUCUUUUUUUUAAAUAGUUUAAGAAAAAAACACAAUUUGAAAACUCAAUUGAUUUACAUUCACCUACACCAUCAGUUACAUUCCUUGGCCUCUAAGCAUUUUUAACAUCUUAAUCUCCAUUAGGCAAGAAGCACAAGGAAAGAUUUGAUAAACUUGAGUUAGGAGAAACUUAGGAAUUUUUGUAUGGAAUUACCAAUCGAGCUAAACAUUCACACAUCUACAUCUCGAUUAACAAUUAGGUUUACUGUGAAAUAAAACAGCAUGUAGGCAAAGAGGUACAACUUUAAUAGAAAAUAUGGUAAUAGAAAAUGUUGAUGUUAUUCUUCAACUCUUAUCAAAGUGGUGAAAUAACCCUUCCUAGCUACCUCUAGGAGUAUAUGCAGUAGCAUCUUCUUUUGUAUACUAAUAAGAGAGGAAAUGGUUCAUGUUUGUUCUUCUAGCUAGUGACAAAGGCUGAAUACAUGACGCAACAGGGACAUUAUCAAACUGAAUCACACCUACCAAAACAAAGCUAAAAAUUGCUCCCGAUCACUUAAUCUUAACGGCCACUAAAUGAUUUCAAAUGAUCAAUUUUUGGAUGUACUUUUGUGGGGACGAAAAAUUUCAGGCACGACAUGUGGACUCUGCAAUUUCAAGAGGAGCUGUCAUUAAUGUGCUCCAUUAUUGAAGCUGAAUGUCUGGAUAAGAAUUUUCUUGCCACUUUCAACAGUUUUAAGGCCAUAGAUACAAUUUGUUAGUGCCAUAUCAUCCAGAAGCCCCAAGACACCAAUGUACUCAAAUUAGAUAUAUUUAUACACGCUUAUCAAGCCUACUUCCAAGUUGAAUAACUGGUGAAAUCAAGUCAAUACAAUAAUGUCCAUCCAUUCCCAUGUCUCCACACUAUUUCUCCUUCCUCUAGUCUUACUACAGUCUGGAUCCAUUGCCAUCACAGGCCAUGCAUUUUCAAUCGAAGAAGCAACUGUCCAUGACUUCCAUAUGGCUUUCGAACAAAACAAACUCACCUCAAGGCAGCUGGUUGAGUUCUACCUGGGCAAGAUUCACAAACUCAACCCAAUUCUUCGUGGGGUAAUAGAGGUGAACCCAGAUGCACUCCUCCAAGCUGAUAAGGCCGACAGGGAGAGGAAGGCUAAGUUACCUGGGUCGCUGCUGGGGCUGCACGGCAUUCCUAUUCUGCUUAAGGAUAAUAUUGCAACCAAGGACAAGAUGAACACAACAGCAGGAUCAUUUGCAUUGCUUAAAUCAGUGGUGCCAAGGGAUGCAGGCGUGGUGAGGAAGUUGAGGAAGGCUGGAGCUAUCAUACUGGGAAAGGCUAGCCUCAGCGAGUGGGCUUAUUUUCGUGCUACUGUUAUUCCUUCGGGCUGGUGUGCUAGAACUGGCCAAGGUAAGGUAAGUUAUGAUCCAAAACUCAAAUUUUCCGACGGUAGUUAGCUUACAUUUUGGUUCUCAUCCUCCCCGGUAAAGAUAUGAACAGAUAUAGGCAGAUGGAAAUUAUACCCAAUUAUUUUCAUUCAAAUCCUUAGAAGGGGAAAAGCUUUUCUGUAUGAGGAGAACUUGUGGCCUCGUUGGAAAUUUCUAUUGUUUUGCAUUCAUGUAAGAAGUUUGUGUUUGGUUUUCAGGAAAAGCAGAGUUACUCCUUGAUCUCUAUAGCAUAGUAAAAUGUAGAAAAUGGAAUUUAUUAAUUUCCAAUUUCUCAUUCCAGUCAGUGUAAGUCUCCUCGUGAACUUGAACAUACACACCAAAAAAGAUAAUAAAAAAAAAAACAUAGAAUCUGAAUACAUGAAUCUUCACUAUGAUGCUGCACGCCAAAAAAGAUAACAAGCUUAGACAUGUUUGCCAAAGGAGUGAAAAGUGUGUGGAGCAUCUGGCCGGGGUCGCCAUUAAAAGGAAAAAAAGCUUCUUUCCAUUGAGCAUUCACACUAUGGUUGUCAAAUCGGUUUCUGUCUGUCAUUAUGUCCUAUAUCAAUCAUUCACCAUCAGUGGGUGUACCAAAAGAUUCUUCCUAUCAAUCAUAUCUUUUUUUAUCUGGCCACUCAAAUGUGUGGAAAUUUUGUUUUUACCUUUUUUUUUUUUCUCCUUUUUUAUGAAAAAAAAGGACCCUUUUCAUGCCUCUAUUGAUUCUGCCCAACACUCUGUUUCGAGUUGUCAUAUUUCUCUAGCAUUCUUGUGUUUCUAAUCCUAAGUAUAUGGGAUAAGAGAUUGAACAAAAACAAGAAGCCUCAAGCUACCGUUGAUUGCGAAAGGGAAGAAGAUUAAGGAUGAAAAUAGGACUACAAUGUGUUGCAUAAACAGUUUUAUGAAUCUUAAGCCUAUGAUUUCAAUGGUGUGCAGAACCCUUAUGUUCUAUCAGCAACUCCCUGUGGCUCAAGUAGUGGAUCAGCUAUAUCAGUAGCAGCAAAUUUAGCGGCAGUGUCUCUAGGGACGGAGACUGAUGGAUCCAUCUUAUGUCCAUCCCACGUUAAUUCAGUAGUGGGCAUCAAACCAACACUUGGUCUCACCAGCCGAGCUGGCGUGGUUCCAAUCUCUCCUAGGCAGGACACUGUUGGGUAGGUGAUGCUUCAUCUUCCUAAAUCCAAAUAUGAAGCUAUCAUCUGUUGAACAACCAAAGAUAGCAGACUGCUCAAACAUAUUUGAUGCAACAGGCCCAUCUGCAGGACAGUCUCCGAUGCUGUAGAGGUACUGGAUGUCAUUGUUGGUUUUGACUACAGGGAUGAAGCAACCAGGACAUCAUCCAAGUACAUACCACAAGGUGGCUAUAAGCAAUUUCUCAAUGCAAAUGGACUCAAGGGGAAGAGAUUGGGGAUAGUGAGGAAUCCCUUCUAUAUGUUUGAGAAUGGCUCUGUCCUGCCUCAAGUUUUUGAGCAUCAUUUCCACACACUAAGGUAACAAAACCUGCUUUCUAAGUACAGUGCUUAAUGUCCUAAUUACUCUAGCUUAAGGUGCUUGACUAAAUUAACCUAUUCUUAUUACAUCAUGCUUCAAGGCAAGGAGGUGCUAUUUUGGUAGACCACCUGGAAAUAGCCAACAUUGAUGUUAUCUAUGGCUCCUCCGGAGAAGGUGCAGCAUUAGAGGCUGAGUUCAAAAUAUCCUUGAAUGCUUACCUGAAAGAGCUGGUAGCAUCCCCAGUAAGAACUUUGGCUGAUGUGAUAGCCUUCAACAACAAAUUCUCACAUUUGGUGAGUACAUUCAGGAGGGGUUUUAAUUAUUUACUUGCUGUUCUAGAUUCCGCUAGGAUUGUUAAAACCACAUUCUGAAAAGAUGACUAAUUUAAUUACUUGAGUAACUGCAGGAAAAGAUCAAGGAGUAUGGACAAGAUACCUUUCUGCAGGCCGAAGCCACAAAUGGGAUAAACAAGAAAACUUUGUUAAAAUUAGCAAGAUUGUCACGAAAUGGAUUUGAGAAGUUGAUGAAGGAGCAUAAGCUGGAUGCAUUGGUGACUCCUGGUUCAAAUGUGAGUCCUGUUCUUGCUAUUGGAGGAUUCCCUGGAAUUUCUGUUCCAGCUGGAUAUGAUAGCAAAGGAGUACCAUUUGGCAUUUGUUUUGGGGGCCUAAAGGGCUCUGAGCCAAAGCUAAUCGAGAUUGCAUAUAGCUUCGAGCAAGCAACUAAGAUUAGGAAGCCACCUUCAUUUAAACCUUGAAGGUUUAGAACAACUCCUAUCAGAGUUGUACUACAUGUAUCAGUAUCAAGAACUCUUCUCUCUAGUUGGUAAUCCUGCACUAGAAAGGAUAUUAUAAUAAAGUGCUCAAUGUUUUGAAUGAACUAAGAUGGUACAGAGGCUGGUUUUCUCCAAAUCAUCUAAAUUAUGAAGUUUCCCUCUACCAUUUACUGUUGUGAUUGGUGCCAUUACAGUGCACUACCCUCUGAAUAACCACUCAUUUAUUUGCAAUAAAACAUGCAGAAUUCAUACAUAUAUCCUAUGAUAAAUGUAGAGAUACAUGAGCAAAAAGGAUUAGAUAAAAAUGUAAAACGGGUAUCAAUACUAAGAUAAAAGUAGCUGUAAAUUUGAUUAUCCUUAAAUUGGUUUACACAACUUCUAACAGCAGCCAGCCACUGAAAUUAUUUGUAGUUACUAAUUUUAGAUGUCCUUUUAUGGGCCAAAAAGUUUCAUUAGCCUUUUAUGGGGCAAAAAAUUAGAACGUUCGUUAAAUUAACAAUGAACUUCCACUCCUACGUCUUCCAACUUUUUCUCCUUUUUUCUAGCCUUAUGACUAGCAGUAUCCAUCACCAUCACAGGCCAUGCAUUCUCAAUCAAAGAAGCAACUCUCCAUGUUUUCCAUAAGGCUUUCAAGCAAAAUAAACUCAAUUCAAGGCAGCUGGUUGAGUUCUAUAUUAGUGAAAUUCACAAAUUGAACCCAAUCCUUCAUGGGGGUAGUAGAGGUGAACCCGGACCCACUCCUCCAAGCAGAUAAUGCUGACAGAGAGCAAAAGGCUGGGUCACCCGGCUUGUUGCUUGGGAUGCAGGUGUGAUGAGGAGGUUAAGGCUUGGGCUAUAUAGUGAGGAAUCUCUUCUUUACGUUGAGUGGGGAAGUAACCCAGCCUAACCCCAACUGAUUUUGAUUAUAAAUAAAGUCUUAACUUCCUCUAGAAGUGUAUGCAGUAGCAUCUUCUUUUCAUUUAUGUUCUUCUAGUGACAAAGGUUGAAUCCAUGACGAACAAGGACAUGAAAAAACAAAAUUAUACCUAUAGAAGGAAAAGCUAAAAAAUGUUGCAGAUCAAUUAAUCAUGAGGUGGCUAAUCACAACUUCUGAAGGCCACCAAAUGACUUCUAAUGACCAAUUUUCAGGAGCGAUAAAAAGUUCAAUCAUGACAUAGAUACAAUUCGUCUAGAUGAGUAUUUGGUUUACCUCUUUCCAAAGCUUCAAGGUCACAGAUAUAAUAUGUUUAUAUCAUAUCAUCCAAAAGCCCCACGAAACUAAGGUAUGUUUGAUGACUAUUUUUAAGAAUUAAUUUUUAUUAUUUAGAAUAACAAAAAUAAGAAAACAUGUUUGAUAAUCAGAAAACAAAAGAUAUGAUGUUUUUAGAUAAUACUUUUUAAUUAUUUUUUUAGGACGAUAUUAAAAAAAUAGUUAUACAAAUAGAAAGAAUAAUUAAAAAUAAAGCUCUGUAUAUAAAAAUUAUUUUAAAAACAUAUUUACAAGUAUAAGAAACAAGUUAAGCAUAUUUUAGGUUACGUAAUUAACUUUUGUUUUACAAAAUAUCAAAAAAGGGUUUCAAAAUAUUGUUAUCAGAAGCUAUUUUUAAGAAUUAUUUUUGUGGGAUGGUGGUGACUUAGAGAAAAAAAUCUCACUUGAUGAAUUGGAACUUGGUUUGUACCAAUAAGAAAAAGGGGGGCCUUGUAAUUCAUAGAAUUGUGGAUUUAAACAAAGCCUUACUUAGGAAGUGGACCAGAUCAAUUAAUCUUAACGGCCACAAAAUGAUUUCAAAUGACCAAUUUUUGGAUGUACUUGUGUGGGGACGAAAAAUUUGAGUCACGACAUGUGGGACAUGUGGGCUAUGCAAUUUCAAGAGGAGCUAUCAUUAAUGUGCUCCAUUAUUGAAGCUAAAUGUCUGGAUAAGAAUUUUUUUGCCACUUUCAACAGUUUUAAGGCCAUAGAUACAAUUUGUUAGUGCCAUAUCAUCCGGAAGCCCCAAGACACCAAUAUACUCAACCUUAGAUAUAUUUAUACACUCUUAUCAAGCCUACUUCCAAGUUGAAUAACUGGUGAAAUCAAGUCAAUACAAUAAUGUCCAUCCAUUUCCAUGUCUCCACACUAUUUCUCCUUCCUCUAGUCUUACUACCGUCUGGAUCCAUUGCCAUCACAGGCCAUGCAUUUUCAAUCGAAGAAGCAACUGUCCAUGACUUCCAUAUGGCUUUCGAACAAAACAAACUCACCUCAAGGCAGCUGGUUGAGUUCUACCUGGGCAAGAUUCACAAACUCAACCCAAUUCUUCGUGGGGUAAUAGAGGUGAACCCAGAUGCACUCCUCCAAGCUGAUAAGGCCGACAGGGAGAGGAAGGCUAAGUUACCUGGGUCGCUGCUGGGGCUGCACGGCAUUCCUAUAUAUUCUGCUUAAGGAUAAUAUUGCAACCAAGGACAAGAUGAACACAACAGCAGGAUCAUUUGCAUUGCUUAAAUCAGUGGUGCCAAGGGAUGCAGGCGUGGUGAGGAAGUUGAGGAAGGCUGGAGCUAUCAUACUGGGAAAGGCUAGCCUCAGCGAGUGGGCUGCUUUUCGUGCUACUGCUACUCCUUCGGGCUGGUGUGCUAGAACUGGCCAAGGUAAGGUAAGUUGUGAUCCAAAACUCAAAUUUUCCGACGGUAGUUAGCUUACAUUUUGGUUCUCAUCCUCCCCGGUAAAGAUAUGAACAGAUAUAGGCAGAUGGAAAUUAUACCCAAUAAUUUUUUAAUCAAAUUCUUAGAAGGGGAAAAGCUUUUCUGUUUAAGGAGAAUUUGUGUACUCGUUGGAAAUUUCUGCUGUUUUGCAUUUAUCCUGAGAAGUUUGUGUUUGUUUGUCAGGAAAAGCAGAGUUACUCUAUGAUUUCUAUAGCAUAUUAAAUGUAGAAAGUGGAAUUUACUAAUUUCCAAUUUCUCAUUCCAGUCAGUGUAAGUCUCCUCGUGAACUUGAACAUACACGCCAAAAAAGAUCAAAAAAAAAAAAAUUAGAAUCUGAAUACAUGAAUCUGCACUAUGAUGCUGCACGCCAAAAAAGAUAACGAGUUUAGACACGUUUGCCAAAGGAGUGAAAAGUGUGUGGAGCAUCUGGCCGGAGUCGCCAUUAAAAGGAAAAAAGCUUCUUUCCAUUUAGCAUUCACACUAUGGUUGUCAAAUGGGUUUCAGUCUGUCAUUAUGUCCUACAACAAUCAUUCACCAUCAGUGGGUGUACCAAAAGAUUCUUCCUAUCAAUCAUAUCUUUUUUAUCUGCCCACUCAAAUGUGUGGAAAUUUUAUUUUUUUAAGGGUCUAUUGAUUCUGCCCAACAUUCUGUUUCGAGUUGUCAUAUUUCUCUAGCAUUCUUGUGUUUCUAAUACUAAGUAUAUGGGAUAAGAGAUUGAACAAAAACAAGAAGCCUCAAACUACCGUUGAUUGCAAAAGGGAAGAAGAUUAAGGAUGAAAAUAGGACUACAAUGUGUUGCAUAAACAGUUUUAUGAAUCUUAAGCCUACGAUUUCAUUGGUGUGCAGAACCCUUAUGUUCUAUCAGCAACUCCCUGUGGCUCAAGUAGUGGAUCAGCUAUAUCAGUAGCAGCAAAUUUAGCGGCAGUGUCUCUAGGGACGGAGACUGAUGGAUCCAUCUUAUGUCCAUCCCACAUUAAUUCAGUAGUGGGCAUCAAACCAACACUUGGUCUCACCAGCCGAGCUGGCGUGGUUCCAAUCUCUCCUAGGCAGGACACUGUUGGGUAGGUGAUGCUUCAUCUUCCUAAAUCCAAAUAUGAAACUAUCAUCUGUUGAACAACCAAAGAUAGCAGACUGCUCAAACAUAUUUGAUGCAACAGGCCCAUCUGCAGGACAGUCUCCGAUGCUGUCGAGGUACUGGAUGUCAUUGUUGGUUUUGACUACAGGGAUGAAGCAACCAGGACAGCAUCCAAGUACAUACCACAAGGUGGCUAUAAGCAAUUUCUCAAUGCAAAUGGGCUCAAGGGGAAGAGAUUGGGGAUAGUGAGGAAUCCCUUCUAUAUGUUUGGGAAUGGCUCUGUCCUCCCUCAAGUUUUUGAGCAUCAUUUCCACACACUCAGGUAACAAAACCUGCUUUCUAAGUACAGUGCUUAAUACCCUAAUGACUCUAGCUUAAGGUGCUUGACUAAAUUAACAUAUUCUUAUUACAUCAUUCCACAAAGGCAAGGAGGUGCUAUUUUGGUAGAUCACCUGGAAAUAGCCAACAUUGAUGUUAUCUAUGGCUCCUCCGGAGAAUAUGCAGCAUUAGAGGCUGAGUUCAAAACAUCCUUGAAUGCUUACCUGAAAGAGCUGGUAGCAUCCCCAGUAAGAACUUUGGCUGAUGUGAUAGCCUUCAACAACAAAUUCUCACAUUUGGUUAGUACAUUCAGGAGAGGUUUUCAUUAUUUACUUGUUGUUCUAGAUUCCGCUAGGAUUGUUAAAACCACAUUCUGAAAAGAUGACUAAUUUAAUUACUUGGGUAACUGCAGGAAAAGAUAAAGGAGUAUGGACAAGAUAUCUUUCUGCAAGCCGAAGCCACAAAUGGGAUAAACAAGAAAACUUUGUUAAAAUUAGCGAGAUUGUCACGAAAUGGGUUUGAGAAGUUGAUGAAGGAGCAUAAGCUGGAUGCAUUGGUGACACCUGGUUCAGAUGUUAGAACUAUUCUUGCUAUUGGAGGAUUCCCUGGAAUUUCUGUUCCAGCUGGAUAUGACAGCGAAGGAGUACCAUUUGGCAUUUGUUUUGGGGGCCUAAAGGGCUCUGAGCCAAAGCUGAUCGAGAUUGCAUAUAGCUUCGAGCAAGCAACUAAGAUUAGGAAGCCACCUUCAUUUAAACCUUGAAGGUUUAGAACAACUCCUAUCAGAGCUGUACUACAUAUAUCAGUAUCAAGAACUCUUCACUCUAGAUAGUAAUCCUGCACUAGAAAGGAUGUUAUAAUAAACUGCUCAAUGUUUUGAAUAAACUAAGAUGAUAUGGAUGUUGGUUUUCUCCAAAUCAUCUAAAUUAUGAAGUUUCCCUCUACCAUUUACUGUUGUGAUUGGUGUCAUUACAGUGCACUGUCCUCUGAAUAACCACUCAUUUAUCUGUAAUGAAACAUGCAGAAUUCAUACAUAUAUCCUAUGAUCAAUGUAGAGAUACAUGAGCAAAAAGGACUAGAUAAAAAUGUAAAACGGGUAUCAAAACUAAGGUAAAAGUAGAUGCAGAUUUGAUUAUUCUUAAGUUGGUUUACACAACUUUUAACAGCAGCCAGCACUGAAAUUAUUUGUAGUUGCUAAUUUCAGAUGUCCUUUUAUGGGCCAAAAAGUUUCAUUAGCCUUUUAUGGGGCAAAAAAUUAGAAUGUCCAUUAAGUUAACAAUGAACAUCCAUUCGUAAGUCUUCCGACUUUUUAUCCUUUCUUCUAACCUUAUGACUAGCAGUAUCCAUCACCAUCACAGGCCAUACAUUCUCAAUCAAAGAAGCAACUCUCCAUGUUUUCCAUAAGGCUUUCAAACAAAAUAAACUCAAUUCAAGGCAGCUGGUUGAGUUCUACAUUAGUGAAAUUCACAAACUGAACCCAAUCCUUCAUGGGGGUAGUAGAGGUGAACCCGGACGCACUCCUCCAAGCAGAUAAAGCUGACAGGGAGCAAAAGGCUAGGUCACCUGCCUUGUUGCUUGGGAUGCAGGUGUGCUGAGGAGGUUAAGGCUUGGGCUAUAUAGUGAGGAAUCUCUUCUUUACGUCGAGUGGGGAAGUAACCCAGCCUAACCCCAAUUGAUUUUGAUUAUAAAUCAAGUCUUCCUCUAGAAGUGUAUGCAGUAGCAUCUUCUUUUCAUAUAUGUUCUUCUAGUGACAAAUGUUGAAUCCAUGACGAACAAGGACAUGAAAAAACAGAAUCACACCUAUAGAAGGAAAAGCUAAAAAAUGUUGUAGAUCAAUUAAUCAUAAGGUGGCUAAUCACAACUUCUGAAGGCCACCAAAUGACUUCUAAUGACCAAUUUUCAGAUGUGCUUCGGUGGGAGCGAAAAAGUUCAAUCAUGACAUAGGUAUAAUUUGUCUAGAUGAGUAUUUGGCUUACCUCUUUCAAAAGCUUUAAGGCCACUAAUAUAAUUUGUUCAUAUCAUAUCAUCCCAAAGCCCUUAGAAACUAAGGUGUGUUUGAUGACUAUUUUUAAGAAUAAUUUUCUAUUAUUUAAAAUAACAAAAAUAGGAAAACAUGUUUGAGAAUCAGAAAACAAAAAAUAUGGUAUUUUUAGAAAAUACUUUUAAAUUAUUUUCAAUUAUUUUCACUUAUUUUUUUGGACCAUAUUAAAAAAUAAUUUUAUAAAUACGAAGAACAAUUAAAAAUAAAACUCUAUAUAUAGAAUUUAUUUUAAAAAUAUAAAAAACAAGUUAAGCAUAUUUUAUAUUACUUAAUGAACUUUUACUUCACAAAAUAUCAAAAUAUAAACCCUUUUUUAGAAUUAUUUUUCGAAAACACUUCUCACAGAAGAUCAUCGUGUACUCCAUAUAUAUACACGCACUGUCAUCCAGCCUACUUUCAAAUUGAACAACUGGUGAAAUCAAAUCAAUACACAAUGUCCAUCCAUUCCACUAUCUCCACAGUAUUUUUCCUCCUUCCAGCCUUAGUUCUAUCUGGAUCUGCUGCCAUCACAGGCCCUGAAUUCUCAAUCAAAGAAGCGACUGUCCAUGACUUCCGUAUGGCUUUCAAACAAAACAAACUCACCUCAAGGUAGAUGGUUAGGUUCUACCUGGGUGAAAUGCACAAACUCGACCCAAUUCUUCAUGGGGUAAUAGAGGUGAACCCAGAUGCACUCCUCCAAGCCGACAAGGCUGACAGGGACAGGAAGGCUAAGUUACCUGGAUCACUGCUGGGGCUACAUGGCAUUCAUAUUCUGCUUAAGGAUAAUAAUGCAACCAAGGACAAGAUGAACACAACAGCUGGGUCAUUUGCACUGCUUAAAUCAGUCGUUGUCUACGGAUGCAGGCGUGGUGAGGAAGUUGAGGAAGGUUGGGGCUAUCAUACUGGGAAAGGCUAGCCUGAGUGAGUGGGCUGGUUCACGCUUUGCUACUCCUUAUGGCUGGUGUGCCAGAGCUGGCCAAGGUCGGGUAAAUUAGGAUCCAAAACUCGAUUUUUCUGAUGGUUGUUAGCUUACAUUUUGGUUCUCGUCCUGCCCAGAAAAGUCCUGUAAACAUGAACAGAUAUAGGAGGAUGGAAAUUAUACCCAAUUAUUUUCAAUCAAAUUCUGAGAAGGGACAAAGCUUUUCUGUAUGCGUAGAACUUGUGUCCUCCUGGGAAAUUUCUGUUGUCAGGGAAGCACAUUUUCUCUUUGAUAUCUAGCACAUUAAAUUGAAGAAAAUGGAAUGUACUCAUUUCCAGUUUCUCAAUCUAGACAGAGUAAGAGUCCCCGUGAAUUUGAACACUUGAAUCUGUACUUAUGUAGCUACACGCCAAAAAGGAUGUAACAUUUUAGAAUCUGACCACGUGAGUCUGCACUAUGAUGCUGCAUGCCAAAGAAGGAAAAAAACAAAUCUUAGACGUAUUUGCCAAAGGAGAAGGUGAAAAGGAGGUGUGAAUUGAAACCCACUUUUUAGAUUAAGAAUGGACCCAGCAAGAUAGUGGAAAAUGCGUGGAGCAUUUGGUCAGGGUCACCAUUAGAGAAGCAAUAAAGCUUCCUUCCAGUGAUCAUUCACAGUAAGGUUUUCAAAUAGGUUUCAAUCUGCAAUUGAUUUGUCCUGCAUCAAUAACUCACCAUCAGUGGAAGAACCAAGCCACUCGUCAUAUGAAUCGUAUCUCUUCUUGAUCUGCCCCACUCAAAUGUGCUCACUGAUUCUGUCUAACAAUCUGUUUUACGAUAUAUGUUUCUUGCAUAACAACAUAUAACAGUUGUAUCGUGUUGCAUAAACGGUUUUAUAACUCUGAAAUAUAUGAUUUCAAUGGUGUGCAGAACCCUUAUGUUCUGUCAGAAACUCCUUGUGGCUCAAGUAGUGGAUCAGCUAUAUCAGUAGCAGCAAAUUUGGCAGCAGUGUCUCUAGGGACGGAGACUGAUGGAUCCAUCUUAUAUCCAUCCCACAUUAAUUCAGUAGUGGGCAUCAAACCAAUGUUUGUUUUUUGGCUGAAUAAAAAAAGCCAAAAUAUUUAGUUUUUUCUAUUUAACUAAAAGUAACUCAUUGAUAUCAACUAACAUAAUUAAAUUAAAUUUAUUGAUAAUAAGUUCACUUUAAUUGUAUUGAUUAAUAUCAACGAGGUACUUUUAACUUAAUAGGAAAAACCAAAUAUUUUGGUUUUUUCUAUUCAACCAAAAAACAAACACUACCACUACUGUCUCACCAACCGAGCUGGUGUGGUUCCAAUCUCUCCUAGGCAGGACACUGUUGGGUAGGUGAUGCUUCAUCUUCCUAAAUCCAAAUAUGAAACUAUCAUCUGUUGAGCAAUCAAAGAGACCAGACUGCUCCAUCUGAUUGCCAAACAGAAAAGGGAGAAAUGACGAUGAAAAGUUGGGAUCAUACAACUAUUUAAGAUUUCAAAUGAUGAUUUUCAGUAGUAAAUUCUGUAUUUCCUCUCUUCAUCCACGAGCCAAUCAAGCAUCAAUGAAUGUAACUGGAUUCUGUUGCAUACAAUUCAAGAUCUUCACAUGCUUCUGUUAAUUAGUAGGUUUUGGUAUAAAUCUGCUUGCUUUUGAAUCAUCAACAUAUGCUUCACUACUUGGUUUUUGACUGGAGAAACUUUGUAGUUUUGUUAUAUCCACUGGUAUCAGAACACAAUGGUGUUAAUUCUAGUAAGGACUCUUAACAUGUUGGAUGCAACAGGCCCAUCUGUAGGACAGUCUCCGAUGCUGUAGAGGUACUGGAUGUCAUUGUAGGUUUUGAGAAGAGGGAUGAAGCAACCAGGACAGCAUCCAAGUACAUACCACUAUAUGCAAUUUCUCAAUGCCAAUGGGCUAGCUCAAGGGGAAGAGAUUGGGGAUAGUAAGGAAUCCCUUCUAUAUGUUUGAGAAUGGCUGUGUCCUGACUAAAGUUUUUGAGCAUCAUUUCCACACACUAAGGUACUAAAACCUGCUUUCUAAGUACAGUGCUUAAUGGCCUAAUGACUCUAGAUUAAGGAGCUGGCCCUAAUUUAACCUAUUGUUAUUACAUCAUGCUACAGGGCAAGGAGGUGCUAUUUUGGUAGACCACCUGGAAAUAGCCAACAUUGAUGUUAUAUUUGGCUCCUCCAGAGAAGAAGCAACAUUAGAGGCGGAGUUCAAAAUAUCCUUGAAUGCUUACCUGAAAGAGCUGGUAGCAUCCCCAGUAAGAACUUUGGCUGAUGUGAUCGCCUUCAACAACAAAUUCUCACAUUUGGUAAAUACAAUCAGAAGGGGUUUUCAUAAUUUAUUUGAUGUUCUAGAUUCAAAUAAAGAUUGUCAAAAUCACAUUCUGGAAAGAUGACCAAUUUUCUUGGGCAACUUCAGGAGAAAAUCAAAGAAUAUGGACAAGACAGCUUUCUGCGAGCCGAAGCCACAAAAGGAAUAAGCAAGAAAACUUUGUUAAAAUUAGCAAGAUUGUCAAGAAAUGGAUUCAAGAAGUUGAUGAAUGAGCAUAAGCUGGAUGCAUUGGUGACUCCUGGUGCAGAUGUUUUGGAGGAUUCCCCGGAAUUACUGUUCCAGCUGGAUAUGAUAGCGAAGGAGUGCCAUUUGGCAUUUGUUUAAUUUGGGGGCCUAAAGGGCUCUGAGCCAAAGCUGAUCGAGAUUGCAUAUAGCUUCGAGCAAGCAACUAAGAUUAGGAAGCCG
rnacentral:lncRNA from 1 species